rnacentral:rRNA from 1 species
CGAAUGCUGACAUAAGUAACGAUAAAGCGGGUGAAAAGCCCGCUCGCCGGAAGACCAAGGGUUCCUGUCCAACGUUAAUCGGGGCAGGGUGAGUCGACCCCUAAGGCGAGGCCGAAAGGCGUAGUCGAUGGGAAACAGGUUAAUAUUCCUGUACUUGGUGUUACUGCGAAGGGGGGACGGAGAAGGCUAUGUUGGCCGGGCGACGGUUGUCCCGGUUUAAGCGUGUAGGCUGGUUUUCCAGGCAAAUCCGGAAAAUCAAGGCUGAGGCGUGAUGACGAGGCACUACGGUGCUGAAGCAACAAAUGCCCUGCUUCCAGGAAAAGCCUCUAAGCAUCAGGUAACAUCAAAUCGUACCCCAAACCGACACAGGUGGUCAGGUAGAGAAUACCAAGGCGCUUGAGAGAACUCGGGUGAAGGAACUAGGCAAAAUGGUGCCGUAACUUCGGGAGAAGGCACGCUGAUAUGUAGGUGAAGUCCCUCGCGGAUGGAGCUGAAAUCAGUCGAAGAUACCAGCUGGCUGCAACUGUUUAUUAAAAACACAGCACUGUGCAAACACGAAAGUGGACGUAUACGGUGUGACGCCUGCCCGGUGCCGGAAGGUUAAUUGAUGGGGUCAGCGCAAGCGAAGCUCUUGAUCGAAGCCCCGGUAAACGGCGGCCGUAACUAUAACGGUCCUAAGGUAGCGAAAUUCCUUGUCGGGUAAGUUCCGACCUGCACGAAUGGCGUAAUGAUGGCCAGGCUGUCUCCACCCGAGACUCAGUGAAAUUGAACUCGCUGUGAAGAUGCAGUGUACCCGCGGCAAGACGGAAAGACCCCGUGAACCUUUACUAUAGCUUGACACUGAACAUUGAGCCUUGAUGUGUAGGAUAGGUGGGAGGCUUUGAAGUGUGGACGCCAGUCUGCAUGGAGCCGACCUUGAAAUACCACCCUUUAAUGUUUGAUGUUCUAACGUGGACCCGUGAUCCGGGUUGCGGACAGUGUCUGGUGGGUAGUUUGACUGGGGCGGUCUCCUCCUAAAGAGUAACGGAGGAGCACGAAGGUUGGCUAAUCCUGGUCGGACAUCAGGAGGUUAGUGCAAUGGCAUAAGCCAGCUUGACUGCGAGCGUGACGGCGCGAGCAGGUGCGAAAGCAGGUCAUAGUGAUCCGGUGGUUCUGAAUGGAAGGGCCAUCGCUCAACGGAUAAAAGGUACUCCGGGGAUAACAGGCUGAUACCGCCCAAGAGUUCAUAUCGACGGCGGUGUUUGGCACCUCGAUGUCGGCUCAUCACAUCCUGGGGCUGAAGUAGGUCCCAAGGGUAUGGCUGUUCGCCAUUUAAAGUGGUACGCGAGCUGGGUUUAGAACGUCGUGAGACAGUUCGGUCCCUAUCUGCCGUGGGCGCUGGAGAACUGAGGGGGGCUGCUCCUAGUACGAGAGGACCGGAGUGGACGCAUCACUGGUGUUCGGGUUGUCAUGCCAAUGGCACUGCCCGGUAGCUAAAUGCGGAAGAGAUAAGUGCUGAAAGCAUCUAAGCACGAAACUUGCCCCGAGAUGAGUUCUCCCUGACCCUUUAAGGGUCCUGAAGGAACGUUGAAGACGACGACGUUGAUAGGCCGGGUG